rnacentral:rRNA from 1 species
GUACAUGGCUAUAGCAUAGAGUUAAUGCACCGAAUAUCAAUCAGAGUUUCACAGUUAAGUGCACUUGAGAUAGAGUAGUACUGGGAUGGGUGACCACCAGGGAAAUCCUAGUGUUUUACAUG